rnacentral:rRNA from 1 species
GAUGAACGCUGGCGGCGUGCCUAAUACAUGCAAGUCGAGCGAACAGACGAGGAGCUUGCUCCUCUGACGUUAGCGGCGGACGGGUGAGUAACACGUGGAUAACCUACCUAUAAGACUGGGAUAACUUCGGGAAACCGGAGCUACUACCGGAUAAUAUAUUGAACCGCAUGGUUCAAUAGUGCAUGACGGUUUUGCUGUCACUUAUAGAUGGAUCCGCGCCGCAUUAGCUAGUUGGUAAGGUAACGGCUUACCAAGGCGACGAUGCGUAGCCGACCUGAGAGGGUGAUCGGCCACACUGGAACUGAGACACGGUCCAGACUCCUACGGGAGGCAGCAGUAGGGAAUCUUCCGCAAUGGGCGAAAGCCUGACGGAGCAACGCCGCGUGAGUGAUGAAGGUCUUCGGGUCGUAAAACUCUGUUAUUAGGGAAGAACAAAUGUGUAAGUAACUAUGCACGUCUUGACGGUACCUAAUCAGAAAGCCACGGCUAACUACGUG